UCGAGGGGUAUUUAUCUUCGGAUAGAGAGACCGGCGCACGGGUGCGUAACGCGUAUGCAAUCUACCUUUUACAGAGGGAUAGCCCAGAGAAAUUUGGAUUAAUACCUCAUAGUAUUAUGAAAUGGCAUCAUUUUAUAAUUAAAGUCACAACGGUAAAAGAUGAGCAUGCGUCCCAUUAGCUAGUUGGUAAGGUAACGGCUUACCAAGGCUACGAUGGGUAGGGGUCCUGAGAGGGAGAUCCCCCACACUGGUACUGAGACACGGACCAGACUCCUACGGGAGGCAGCAGUGAGGAAUAUUGGACAAUGGGCGCAAGCCUGAUCCAGCCAUGCCGCGUGCAGGAUGACGGUCCUAUGGAUUGUAAACUGCUUUUAUACGAGAAGAAACACUCCAACGUGUUGGAGCUUGACGGUAUCGUAAGAAUAAGGAUCGGCUAACUCCGUGCCAGCAGCCGCGGUAAUACGGAGGAUCCAAGCGUUAUCCGGAAUCAUUGGGUUUAAAGGGUCCGUAGGCGGUUUAGUAAGUCAGUGGUGAAAGCCCAUCGCUCAACGGUGGAACGGCCAUUGAUACUGCUGAACUUGAAUUAUUAGGAAGUAACUAGAAUAUGUAGUGUAGCGGUGAAACGCUUAGAGACUACAUGGAAUACCAAUUGCGAAGGCAGGUUACUACUAAUGGAUUGACGCUGAUGGACGAAAGCGUGGGUAGCGAACAGGAUUAGAUACCCUGG
rnacentral:rRNA from 1 species